rnacentral:rRNA from 1 species
AGCGAACGCUGGCGGCAGGCCUAACACAUGCAAGUCGAACGGAUCCUUCGGGAUUAGUGGCGGACGGGUUAGUAACACGUGGGAACGUGCCCUUUGGUUCGGAACAACUUAGGGAAACUUGAGCUAAUACCGGAUGUGCCCUUCGGGGGAAAGAUUUAUCGCCAUUGGAGCGGCCCGCGUCUGAUUAGCUAGUUGGUGGGGUAAAGGCCCACCAAGGCGACGAUCAGUAGCUGGUCUGAGAGGAAGAUCAGCCACAUUGGGACUGAGACACGGCCCAAACUCCUACGGGAGGCAGCAGUGGGGAAUCUUGCGCAAUGGGCGAAAGCCUGACGCAGCCAUGCCGCGUGAAUGAUGAAGGUCUUAGGAUUGUAAAAUUCUUUCACCGGGGACGAUAAUGACGGUACCCGGAGAAGAAGCCCCGGCUAACUUCGUGCCAGCCGCCGCCGUAACAC